rnacentral:rRNA from 1 species
UACAUAGGGGGCGAGCGUUAUCCGGAUUUACUGGGCGUAAAGGGUGCGUAGGUGGCAAAUUAAGUUUCUGGUGUAAGUGCAGUGCUCAACGCUGUGAUGCUAGGAAAACUGAUUAGCUAGAGUGAGACAGAGGUAAGUGGAAUUCCAUGUGUAGCGGUAAAAUGCGUAAAUAUAUGGAGGAACACCAGUGGCGAAGGCGGCUUACUGGGUCUUUACUGACACUGAUGCACGAAAGCGUGGGGAGCAAACAGG